UACAGAGACUGCAAGCGUUAUUCGGAUUCACUGGGCGUAAAGGGUGCGCAGGCGCCAAGUGUGUCAGGUGUGGAAAUCCCGAGGCUUAAACCUCGGAACUGCGCCUGAAACUACUUGGCUAGAGUACUGGAGAGGGUAACGGAAUUCACGGUGUAGCAGUGAAAUGCGUAGAUAUCGUGAGGAACACCAGAGGCGAAGGCGGUUACCUGGACAGUUACUGACGCUCAGGCACGAAAGCCGGUGGGGAGCAAAAGGG
rnacentral:rRNA from 1 species